rnacentral:rRNA from 1 species
CACGAAGGGGGCUAGCGUUGUUCGGAUUUACUGGGCGUAAAGCGCACGUAGGCGGAUUGUUAAGUCGGGGGUGAAAUCCUGGAGCUCAACUCCAGAAUUGCCUUCGAUACUGGCUUUCUAGAGGCUGGAAGAGGUUAGUGGAAUUCCCAGUGUAGAGGUGAAAUUCGUAGAUAUUGGGAAGAACACCAGUGGCGAAGGCGGCUAACUGGUCCAGAUCUGACGCUGAGGUGCGAAAGCGUGGGGAGCAAACAGG